GACGAACGCUGGCGGCGUGCCUAACACAUGCAAGUCGAACGGAGAUAUGAUUUCGGUUAUAUCUUAGUGGCGAACGGGUGAGUAACGCGUGAGCAACCUGACCCUUCAGAGGGGGAUAACAACUUGGAAACAGGUGCUAAUACCGCAUAAGACCACGACCCGACAUCGGGAUGCGGUCAAAGGAGCAAUCCGCUGAGGGAGGGGCUCGCGUCCCAUUAGAUAGAUGGCGGGGUAACGGCCCACCAUGUCGACGAUGGGUAGCCGAGCUGAGAGGCUGAUCGGCCACACUGGAACUGAGACACGGUCCAGGA
rnacentral:rRNA from 1 species